rnacentral:rRNA from 1 species
UGGGAGCGCUCCCAUAUGGUCGACCUGCAGGCGGCCGCGAAUUCACUAGUGAUUCGUAUUACCGCGGCUGCUGGCACGGAGUUAACCGGUGCUUAUUCAUAGGGUACUGUCAAGUAAUCUAGAAAGACCUUUUUUCGCCCCCUAUAAAAGAAGUUUACAAUCCAGAGGACCUUCAUCCUUCACGCGGCAUGGCUGGUUCAGACUUGCGUCCAUUGACCAAUAUUCCUUACUGCUGCCUCCCGUAGGAGUCGGGCCCGUGUCUCAGUGCCCGUGUGGCUGAUCAUGCUCUCACAUCAGCCACUGAUCGAAGGCUUGGUGGGCCUUUACCCCGGCAACUACCUAAUCAGGCGCACACCCAUCUCGAAUCGCCGAAACUAUAAUAACAGUGUGAUGCCACACCGCUAUAUUACGGGGUAUUAAUCCACAUUUCUAUGGGCUAUCCCCCU